CACACAGGUGGAUCGAUCAACAGUAACACCGCUCGAGCUCGGCCCCGCGACGUCGCAACCAACCCCGCAGGCUGCCCGCGCUUCCCGGUCAUCUCAUCACCCGCGCGCUCUGGCUGGUCGUCGAUCGAUCGAGUGGACGCUGGCUGUUCGAUCGGCGCUCCCCCCGCGCGCGCUGUCGUGCGUACGUGCAGCCGGCGCCCGCGAUGCCCGUUCCUCCCUGCGUGCGUACGGCGCGUGCGCCGCUGUGGCGACUGGGAUUGGGCUGGCCCCAGGCCGCUUUCAUUCGGUUUCCCCAGGUUGCAGGCAAGGGGAACGGAUUAACAACGGCUCCUCGUCUCUUCUUCUCGGAGGGAAAACGACGUCAUCCUCGUCUGCGCAAAAACCGAGAAAGCGAUCGACCGCUUCUGCUGUGGGCUCCUUUCUGGGUUCCAUGACCUAUUCUAUUAUUCGCUAUUAAUCCUACCCAACACAAACACGCCAUGUCACCGAAGGUCGUCGUAGCCAUUUGCCUCGUAGCACUUCUCCUUCCCAUCCGCACAAGCCAUGCUGGUAGAGUUGGGCCAGUUGAGCCCAUCAAAGCUACCACUAAGGUUGUGGAGGGGAGGAACCGUGUUCAGGAGGAGGAUUGCUCGGUGAGGCGUGUGCUCGCGGCUCACCUGGACUACAUCUACACGCAGGGCACGCACAACUGAGGAGGAGAUGUCUGCGGUAAAGACAGUCCUUGUAAAACUACGUACAUGUCGGAGAAUAAACUGCCAUGCAAGCUCAACGUCUCGAUGACAAUGCGUGCAUGGAGAAAGGACCGAGAGUCCUUCGCGUCUUGCCGGGUAGUAGCAUACCACCACAGGUUGAUGGGCUAGCUGACCUAGGUUUGAGACUCGCCCUCUACUUAAUGUCUUUGGUGUGAAAGUUUAACCAUUUUAUAUCCAACGAUAAUACAUGUACGGGCUAUAUGUUGUGUUUGUAAGCAUACGAGCGUGUAUGUGUGGAGCUUUUGGCAAAGUUUGUAGUAAUGAUGAUCAGGUAAACUUGUUAUUUUGUUCGAAAUUACGUAUUCUCUCU